UACGGGGGGGAGCAAGCGUUGUUCGGAUUUACUGGGCGUAAAGGGCGCGUAGGCGGUCGUGACAAGUCACUUGUGAAAUCUCCGGGCUUAACUCGGAAAGGUCAAGUGAUACUGUCGGACUAGAGUACAGAAGGGGCAACUGGAAUUCUCGGUGUAGCGGUGAAAUGCGUAGAUAUCGAGAGGAACACCUGCGGCGAAGGCGGGUUGCUGGGCUGAUACUGACGCUGAGGCGCGAAAGCGUGGGGAGCGAACAGG
rnacentral:rRNA from 1 species